rnacentral:rRNA from 1 species
CAGUAGCCGCGGGAAUACGGAGGGGGCUAGCGUUGUUCGGAAUUACUGGGCGUAAAGCGCACGUAGGCGGAUCAGAAAGUCAGAGAUGAAAUCCCAGGGCUCAACCUUGGAACUGCCUUUGAAACUCCUGGUCUUGAGGUCGAGAGAGGUGAGUGGAAUUCCGAGUGUAGAGGUGAAAUUCGUAGAUAUUCGGAGGAACACCAGUGGCGAAGGCGGCUCACUGGCUCGAUACUGACGCUGAGGUGCGAAAGCGUGGGGAGCAAACAGGAUUAGAUACCCCUGUAGUCCCUGUCUCUUAUAC